UAGUUUCAUCGUAUGCGACGGAUGGUUCGCACGCGGUCGUCGCGAUUCUCCUUUCUUAGGAUUUAAUUCGGUAACGCGUAUUACUUUCGGUGUUCUUAGUGAUUAUUUUUGCUUAUUGUGUUUCGAUAAUGAUUUAUCGCUUAUAAGAUGUUCGCGAAAUACAAGUAUUGUGUAUUUGUUCGUGAGCGGGGUGCCGACGGAUGCCGUUUACGAUGGAAGUUUUACAAUACUAACCAAUCUAUUUUACUUCUGAGGAAAGGUUGCCUAGUCACAUGGACUGCAUUCCAACACACUCAAGGUUUCAGUAGUACACCGGUACUCGCCGCCAUUGAACUAAUAAAACGAUUCGAAGCCAUCAACAUCCGGGGGAAACUGAUACUACUCGACCGGAUCUGAUGUACCUACAGCCUCUUCGAACUUAUCAAGGGUAAAAGCCAGGAUGAUCUUGAAUGCAACAUGAUUGAAGGUUUGGUUCAAACUACAAUGCCUCAUCAAGAUAUCACAAAUCUUAGAGAAACACUCCAUCAAGGAAAGAUCUAUGGUGGUAAACGGUCUGUAUUUUGCGUUUCUCAGGCUUGAUUAGAUUUCUGUUUGCUUCAGAUAAGAGUGCAAGAGUGGUCUAAUCUAAAGCAGUACCGGCCUUAGGGCAUGGCGCGGUUGGACGACCUCCCAGGGGCGCCGACUCGCACUUGGCCGGUUUUUUCGUAUGGGUUUGAUUUGCAGUUAGGGGGCGCCGUAGAAAUCUCGCCCAGGGCGCUGGUAGUGCUAAAACCGGCACUGACUGUAAGUGCGGCAUAAUUUUCUUAGAUGCGGAAUUUCAUUCUGUAUCUCCCUGUAUCGACAUUUAUUUCGAGAAAAUUUCGUAACGCGAGUUAUAAUGAUAGUUGUGUGUAUACGCACUUGUACUCGUUGCGCUAGGAAUUGUAGUUUUUUUAUUAUAACACGCGAACGCGGUCUUAAACAUAGCUCACAAUAAUUUUCCUAGAUGCGGAAUUUAAUUCUUUAUUUCCCUGUAUCGAAAUUUAUUGCGAGAAAAUUCCGUAACGCGAGUAAUAAUGAUAGUUAUGUGUAUACGCACUUGUACUCUUUGCGCUAGGAAUUGUAGUUUUUUAUGAUAAUACGCGAACGCGGUCUUAAACAUAGCUCACAAUAAUUUUCCUAGAUGCGGAAUUUAAUUCUUCAUUUCCCUGUAUCGAAAUUUAUUGCGAGAAAAUUCCGUAACGCGAGUUAUAAUGAUAGUUGUGUGUAUACGCACUUGUACUCGUUGCGCCAGGAAUUGUAGUUUUUUUAUUAUAACACGCGAACGCGGUUUUAAACUUAGUUCGGUAUAAUUUUCAUAGAUGCGAAAUUUAAUUCUUUAUUUCCCUGUAUCGAAAUUGUAUGUAAAUAAUUUUUUGUCGCGUUCAAGGAACGUAUCGCGCAAAAUUGAUAGUGACCUCGUGUUGUCGCUGGUAGCUGUGUCGCUGUGUGCAGUUUAGCGCACAUGCAGUUCCAUUCCGAUCGUCGUAUGUAGCGCGCGUGUCCAUCGCCACUAUUUCUGUUUCUUCAUCAUAAUUAAGUCAAUUGACUUAUAUUCCUUAAAAAAAAAUGACAUUGUUGUGGUACGAGUGUUUAUCAAUCGCGGAUUCAUUUUCGGUUUACCUUUGUACGUGCGUGUGUCCGUCGGCAUACGGUUAUAUUUUCGCACAUAAGAAUAUAUUGAAUUUAUAAUUAAUUCGUGCAACUCAAGUGCGCAGGGACGUAGUUUGUGAGGGCCCAAACCAUGGAGUUUGCAAUAUCUAAAGCGGAAGUGUUGGAGAUGCGCGUAUUUUAAUGUAAGUCUUCACUGCCGCAGAAUUUGCGUGCUGUUGAUAUUUUUUUAUUUAACAAAAUGUGCCUGUUGUUAAAUACUGUCAAUAAAACAUUAUGUAAAAUUAUAA